rnacentral:rRNA from 1 species
GACAGAGGGUGCAAACGUUGUUCGGAAUUACUGGGCGUAAAGCGCGUGUAGGCGGCCAUCUAAGUCGGGCGUGAAAUCCCACGGCUCAACCGUGGAAGUGCACUCGAAACUGGAUGGCUAGAGUCCUGGAGAGGAAGGUGGAAUGCUUGGUGUAGAGGUGAAAUUCGUAGAUAUCAAGCGGAACACCGAUGGCGAAGGCGGCCUUCUGGACAGUGACUGACGCUGAGACGCGAAAGCGUGGGGAGCAAACAGG